rnacentral:rRNA from 1 species
AACGAACGCUGGCGGCAUGCCUAACACAUGCAAGUCGAACGAGAUCUUCGGGUCUAGUGGCGCACGGGUGCGUAACGCGUGGGAAUCUGCCCUUUGGUUCGGAAUAACAGUUGGAAACGACUGCUAAUACCGGAUGAUGACGAAAGUCCAAAGAUUUAUCGCCAGAGGAUGAGCCCGCGUAGGAUUAGCUAGUUGGUGAGGUAAAGGCGCACCAAGGCGACGAUCCUUAGCUGGUCUGAGAGGAUGAUCAGCCACACUGGGACUGAGACACGGCCCAGACUCCUACGGGAGGCAGCAGUGGGGAAUAUUGGACAAUGGGCGAAAGCCUGAUCCAGCAAUGCCGCGUGAGUGAUGAAGGCCUUUGGGUUGUAAAGCUCUUUUACCCGGGAUGAUAUGACAGUACCGGGAGAAUAAGCUCCGGCUAACUCCGUGCCAGCCGCCGCGGUAA